GCGGAGCUGCCAGGUGCGUCAGGCAUCGUAUCCCCAGGGCCAAUAAGCGUCCUCCGGGAGCUGGCGCUGCCCGGAUCGUGGUCCGGGUAUCCGGCGCCCACCUGCGUUAGCAGGCCUUGGGAGGAUAGAACGCCAACGGCCAUGGCGGCUCCGCA
rnacentral:other from 1 species